AACCCAUGUUGUGCACACUUCCGCAAAAAGGUCCUUGAAUCGUUCCCAAGUCUCAAACAAAGUUUCAAGUUCCAUCUGAGUAAAUGAAGAUAUCUCAUUACGAAGCUU